rnacentral:lncRNA from 10 species
UGCAGAGUGGCCAUAUGGAUUUGAUCCCUAUCCUUCAGAGGUGCUCAGCCUAAGGGAACACGGAUAGUAGAUUAAGCACUGACCAGAUAUAUAGAAGCACUUAGGAACUUUGUUCUACUAUUCUGCACUGAAGGAACUUUCAGAACUUUCCAGUGCUUCAGGUUGGGGUCCGGCUCAAGUUUGUACAUUCCAACUUGUUGUUUGGGCCUUGUUGGACAUAACUGAAGUCUGGAUGGCAGGGUGAAAAUUGGAUAAACAGCCACACUGACUCAGGGGAGAUUUUUUUUUAAUGCAAACAUCUGUUUCUUGAAUUUGGCCAUGGGGUAUAAAUCCUGCCUUCUCUCAGCCUUACAGAGGAAGAAAACCCUUUCCAAGUUUCCUCUGAUACUGGGUUUAUGCCCAAUUAUAGUUUAGGCAUGAAGAAACUGAAGCAUGGAGGAAAAACUUAGCAACUAGCCCAACGUCACACAGGCAAGCCAGCCUUGACAAUGUGCUGAUGGCAACCUAGAACAUAAGCAGAGGAGUAUACAGGACAAGAACUUGAUGGUCUCGGGAA